rnacentral:rRNA from 8 species
CGACUCUCGGCAACGGAUAUCUCGGCUCUCGCAUCGAUGAAGAACGUAGCGAAAUGCGAUACUUGGUGUGAAUUGCAGAAUCCCGUGAACCAUCGAGUUUUUGAACGCAAGUUGCGCCCAAAGCCAUUAGGCUAAGGGCACGUCUGCCUGGGCGUCACG